GCAACGAGCGCAACCCCUGUCACUAGUUGCCAUCAUUAAGUUGGGGACUCUAGUGAGACUGCCUACGCAAGUAGAGAGGAAGGUGGGGAUGACGUCAAAUCAUCACGGCCCUUACGCCUUGGGCCACACACGUAAUACAAUGGCCGGUACAGAGGGCAGCUACACUGCGAAGUGAUGCAAAUCUCGAAAGCCGGUCUCAGUUCGGAUUGGAGUCUGCAACUCGACUCUAUGAAGCUGGAAUCGCUAGUAAUCGCGCAUCAGCCAUGGCGCGGUGAAUACGUUCCCGGGCCUUGUACACACCGCCCGUCAAGCCAUGGAAGUCUGGGGUACCUGAAGUCGGUGACCGUAACAGGAGCUGCCUAGGGUAAAACAGGUAACUAGGGCUAAGUCGUAACAAGGUAGCCGUACCGGAAGGUGCGGCUGGAACAUCUCAUUU
rnacentral:rRNA from 1 species